GACGAACGCUGGCGGCGUGCUUAACACAUGCAAGUCGAGCGGAGCGGCGAACGGGUGAGUAACGCGUGAGUAACUGCCCCCCUCUCUGGGAUAACAGUUGGAAACGGCUGCUAAUACCGGAUAGUGGGGGAUGACUCGCGUCCUAUCCGCUUGUUGGUGGGGGAGUGGCCUACCAAGGCGACGACGGGGAGCCGGCCUGGGAGGGCGACCGGCCAACUGGGGAUGAGGCACGGCCCAAACGCAGGCGGGAGGCGGGAUUGGGGAAUAAUGCACAAUGGGCGAAAGCCUGAUGCAGCGACGCCGCGUGGGGGAUUACGGCUUGCGGGUUGUAAACCUCUCCGUGCAAGGGUCGGGUAGGUGGAGAAGAAGCGCCGGCUAACUACGUGCCAGCAGCCGCGGUAAUAC
rnacentral:rRNA from 1 species